rnacentral:rRNA from 1 species
UCCCCCCUUCUGGAGAAGCCUAGAGGUCAUUAAUUGGUGGUUCCGGGAAAUCAGGACGGUUACUUUUAAAAAAUUAAAUGGUUUAAGCCAGGCAACCCCUGGAAAACUUUACCUGGAAAAAAGGAAAAAGAACUUUGAACCUAUUUUGUUGGUUUCUAGGAUCGACGUAAUGAUUAAUAGGGAUAGUUGGGGGCAUUAGUAUUCAAUUGUCAGAGGUGAAAUUCUUGGAUUUAUUGAAGACUGACUACUGCGAAAGCAUUUGCCAAGGAUGUUUUCAUUAAUCAAGAACGAAAGUUAGGGGAUCGAAACGAUCAAAUACCGUCGUAUCUUAACCAUAAACUAUGCCGACAAGGGAUCGGAUGAUGUUAUUUUUAAUGACUCAUUCGGCGCCUUACG